rnacentral:rRNA from 1 species
AUUGAACGCUGGCGGCAGGCCUAACACAUGCAAGUCGAACGGUAGCACAGAGAGCUUGCUCUCGGGUGACGAGUGGCGGACGGGUGAGUAACGUCUGGGAAACUGCCCGAUGGAGGGGGAUAACUACUGGAAACGGUAGCUAAUACCGCAUAACGUCGCAAGACCAAAGUGGGGGACCUUCGGGCCUCACACCAUCGGAUGUGCCCAGAUGGGAUUAGCUAGUAGGUGGGGUAAUGGCUCACCUAGGCGACGAUCCCUAGCUGGUCUGUGGGGAUGACCAGCCAAACUGGAACUGAGACACGGUCCAGACUCCUACGGGAGGCAGCAGUGGGGAAUAUUGCACAAUGGGCGCAAGCCUGAUGCAGCCAUGCCGCGUGUAUGAAGAAGGCCUUCGGGUUAUAAAGUACUUUCAGCGGGGAGGAAGGCGGUGAAGUUAACAGCUUCACCGAUUGACGUUACCCGCAGAAGAAGCACCGGCUAACUCCGUGCCAGCCGCCGCCGUAA